AAUAGAUACCCGGGUAGUCCUAGCCGUAAACGAUGAGCACUGGGUUGAAGGGUCCUCCAUAGCCUUUCAGCCGCAGCGAAAGUGUUAAGUGCUCUGCCUGGGGAGUAUGGUCGCAAGGCUGAAACUCAAAGGAAUUGACGGGGGCUCACACAAGCGGUGGAGGAUGUGGCUUAAUUCGAGGCUACGCGAAGAACCUUAUCCUAGUCUUGACAUGCACGGAUUAACUCCCUGAAAGGGGAGCCAGGCCUUCGGGUACAACGUGCACAGGUGCUGCAUGGCUGUCGUCAGCUCGUGCUGUGAAGUGUCGGGUUAAGUCCCUUAACGAGCGAAACCCUUGUCGCUAGUUGCCAGCGAGUCAUGUCGGGGACUCUAGCGAGACCGCCGGUGUUAAACCGGAGGAAGGCGGGGAUGACGUCAAGUCCUCAUGGCCUUUAUGACUAGGGCUGCACACGUCCUACAAUGGCAUGCACAAAGGGACGCAAAGUCGCGAGACCAAGCAAAUCCCAAAAAACAUGCCCCAGUUCGG
rnacentral:rRNA from 1 species